GGGGACGACAUGGUUUCGACGUGGAUUACAAAACCUUAGGUGCAUGUCGAGGGGCUGAGUACCUCGUAAAACCCAUCAGCACACAACUUAGUUGCCAACGACGACAACUACGCCCUAGCAGCUUAGGCCGCUAGCUUCUGACCAGAGCCGUGUCUGUGCGUCUGGGCUGUUUAUAUCUUCGGGUAUGGGGAGCACUCAGAAGUCAUAUCUCACAGAAUCGCGGUGGAGCUUGUUCGGGGCCGAAUCGCUAAAACUUACCGAUCUCGCUGUUGGCCUGCCCUGCCCGUCGGGUAUCCAACGGUUAAACCUUAAUAGACUGGGAUAAGCAUGUAGAAC
rnacentral:tmRNA from 1 species